CACACACACACACACACACACACACACACACACACAGCUGAUUCAAGGUAGUAUUUAUUCAGGGCCAUUACCUGGAAACUAGUUAAACCGAUCAGUUCAUGUAGUAACCAAUCAGAAAACGUAGAAACUAAUCACAACAUGCAGUAACCAAUCAGAUCAUGUGGUAACCAAUCCGAACAUGUAGUAACCAAUCAGAACAUGUAGUAACCAAUCAGAAGAUGCAGUAACCAAUCAGAAGAUACAGUAACCAAUCAGAAGAUGCAGUAACCAAUCAGAAGAUGCAGUAACCAAUCAGAAGAUGCAGUAACCAAUCAGAAGAUGCAGUAACCAAUCAGAAGAUGCAGUAACCAAUCAGAAGAUGCAGUAACCAAUCAGAGCAGGUAGUAACCAAUCAGAAGAUGUAGUAACCAAUCAGAGCAGGUAGUAACCAAUCAGAAGAUGUAGUAACCAAUCAGAA
ensembl:lncRNA